UCACAGACCCGGUUUUUAGACCAACUAUGGCUGAAUGGCUGUCACUGUUAGAAAAAUGAGUGUGUAGUACAAAGAGACUUAGGACUCUGUUCACCUACAGCUUUCAUGGUUAGCAACCUCCCACUAGCCCUUUUCAUAUGUGCCUCUGCUCAAAGGCUGUGACAAUUAAGUUCUGACACAGGGUUUGAGUAGGUAUGGACAGACAGUGGGGCAUGAUCAAUUUGGUUACAUGUUCAAUUUCCUCUCAAUAUAGUUAUUUUUCCCACAUCCCAAUCUGGUGUAUUCUCAUUUGCAAGACCAGAUAGUUCAGCUUUCUGUCUGUUCAGUUUUUUCCUCUUAAUGAUUUCCCCAGGUCAUGCAGCCCACUUGGAGAAGAAGUUGUCUUUUUAAUGGCACAAACUUUUAAUUUCGUACUUUAAUGCCUGUUAGAUUUGUGGCAAAUGUCUUUCCUAAACAGAACCAUGAGGUACAACUUAGAUUUCAAAUACAAUUAAGUUUUAGUUAUGCACUUUUU